rnacentral:tRNA from 1 species
CGUUCCAUGGCUAAACUGGUCAAGGCAUCAUUGAAUAGAUGCGAAGAUGCGGGUUCGAGUCCCGCUGGAAUAG